rnacentral:rRNA from 1 species
ACGAACGCUGGCGGCUGCUUAACACAUGCAAGUCGAACGGAGUGGCGAACGGGUGAGUAACGCGUGAGCAACCUGCCUAUGACAGUGGGAUAGCCUCGGGAAACCGGGAUUAAUACCGCAUAGUCAUAGAUGGGCUCGCGUCUGAUUAGCUAGUUGGUGAGAUAACAGCCCACCAAGGCGACGAUCAGUAGCCGGUCUGAGAGGAAGAACGGGCAAAUUGGAAAUGGGACACGGGCCAAAAUCCUUCGGGAGGCAAGCGUGGGGAAUAAUGCACAAUGGGGGAAACCCUGAUGCAGCGACGCCGCGUGAACGAAGAAGGUAUUCGUAUCGUAAAGUUCUGUCCUAUGGGAAGCAGUACCAUAGAAGAAAGCUCCGGCUAAAUACGUGCCAGCAGCCGCGGUAAUAC